UGCCAGCCGCCGCGGUAAUACGAAGGGACCUAGCGUAGUUCGGAAUUACUGGGCUUAAAGAGUUCGUAGGUGGUUGAAAAAGUUAGUGGUGAAAUCCCAGAGCUUAACUCUGGAACUGCCAUUAAAACUUUUCAGCUAGAGUAUGAUAGAGGAAAGCAGAAUUUCUAGUGUAGAGGUGAAAUUCGUAGAUAUUAGAAAGAAUACCAAUUGCGAAGGCGACUUUCUGGACAAUUACUGACACUGAGGAACGAAAGCGUGGGGAGCGAACAGGAUUAGAUA
rnacentral:rRNA from 1 species